rnacentral:lncRNA from 1 species
AAGAACAUGACCUAAGUAGUGUCUCUUUCUUGACCUCUCACACACGCCACACACACAACACAACACAAAACAAAACAAAAGGCUGCUCCAUUCUCCCACUUGACCCUUGUUGGGUCAAAUUCUCAAUAGUAUCUUCUUGCUCCAUACGGCCAUACCCUUUCAGGCUUUGUUCACUGCAAUCUGCAAAAGCAGCUUAACCUUAUCAUCAUCACUUAUCAGUGUCUAACGAGAUCUGACUACCUACGUGUCGUGUUGCAUGUCUCUCUCACUCUCUUAUGUUGAGUUUGAGUGAACAACACAGUAUUUACUCACACACCUCUUUGAAGAGAGUGUGUGUUUCUGUUUUUCUUUUCAAACUUUACUCACUUCUCAUUUUCCUCAAACAAUUUUUUCUCCUCUCUUUAUAUGGCUAUUUUUAUUCCAUUAAUAACAGGUAUGUCUCUUCUCCUCAGAUCUGAUUCACUUAUGAUUUUUUUCCCUUAAGAUUUAUGAAAGGUUCUUGUUUUUAUUUGAAGCUUCUAUAUUUGGAGUGUUUUUUUGUUCUUAUUGUAUGAGUACUUCUUUUGGUGUAAAUAGUUUUGUUAUUUGGGACAUAUGUAUGCAUAUAUAUAUAUAUAGAAAUUGACAGAAGAGAGCGAGCACACAGAAGCAUUUGGUAUAUAAUAUAUAUACUAUUUCUUUUGUGUGCUCGGUCUCUUCUAUCAUUUUCCAGAAUGCUGGAAAGGAAAUUUCUAUGCUUAUGUUUAUUUGUGUCCCAAACUAAACCAAACUAUCAUCUCUCAUUGAGUAUAUAUCAUCACUAAAUAUACUAUAUUGCAGGCUGCCCUAUAUUGCAUGUUUUAAUCCAACGGUGAAAACAAAAUUUUGUGAAUUGUGGUUUUGAUCUUAGAUUAGCCAUUAAUUAUAUUAAUGAUUAGUUUUAUAAUAACAUUACCCAACAGAUAUAUGACUUUUGAUAGCAGGUAUGUCAAUAUAUAAAUUUUAAUUAUCAAUAUCUUUAAUUGUUUAUUAAUAAAAAUUUGAUAAUUUAAAAAUAUUUAGGGAUGGCAAUUUGACCCAUAUCCAGAGGGUACCCGCAAAAAUUACCCACAACGGGUAGGAUAAAAACCCGCAUUUUGGGUACGGACACGGGUAUGGGUAAUUACCCGCAAAAAUGAACGGAUAUGGGUGCAGGUACUGGUACCUUAGUACCCACCCCGCCCCAUACCCACAUAAUAUAUAUUUAUUUAUUUUAUUUAUAUUAUUAUAUUAUAAUAUAUGUAAAUCAAUUUAAAACAAUACAACUCUACUAAACUAUUACAUAUUUUUAAUAAAUAUGUUUAUUUAUAACAUAAUAUAAAAAUAAUGUGAAUAUUUAACAUAAAUAUGAACUUUAACAUAUGGUUAGUAAUAAUUUUGUUUAUAAUUUUCAUUAGUCAAUAUUAAAAUUUUUGAAAUUUUUUUAAUUCUAUUAAAAUUAUAUGAUAUUUUAUAAUUGAUCAAUUUAUUUUUAGUAAAAAUACGGGUAACGGGUACGGGUAUGGAUACCUAGGUACCCAUAUGGUAUGAGGACGGGGGCAAAAGUUGUUACCCACGCGAGUAUGGGGAUGGAUACAGGUAUUUUUUCAAUCUGCGGGUAUGGGGACGGGGGCAAAAGUUAUUACCCACGCGGGUAUGGGGAUGAGUACGGGUAUUUUUUCAAUCCGCGGGUAUGGGGAUGGGUACUAUAGUACCCUACCCAUACCCUACCCAUUGUCAUCCCUAAAAAUAUUAAUCGAAACAAAUCAAACAAGAUAUUAUAUGAUAUACUAUUACAUUUAUAUACUUUUAGAAAAAUACGGUCAAAACAAGAUAUAUAAAUAGUACAUUUAAUCAAAAUAGUUCAAGUUGUCUUGAUUACUUGAUUACUGUGCUGAUCUUAAUUAAGGGGCAACUUUAAUUUUUCCAUUUGUUAUGUACUGUACUAGUAUAUAGGAUAAAAUAUAGGAUGGUCCUCCCACAAAUUGUGGUAAUAAUGCUUUUUGUUGCUCCACACCUUUUCAGUCUAUAUGUAUUUUUAUAAGCUACUUUUAGUCUCCCCUUAUUAUGUUUUACUUUGAUCUUGUACUAGUAUAUAUAUUUACUUUGAUUUGUCCUCUUCCAAAUGUCAUAUAUUUACAAUAUGUGUGUGUGUUGAGGUUUUAAUUUGUAAUUUUCUAUACAAAAUCAUAUUGUAAAACUUUAUAAUAUAUGCAUCCAAUCAAAUCACUCUUAUAAGACUCAUUAUUAUUCGGAGGUAUGCUCUUCCGACGCACCGAUGUGAAUUAGAGAAACACGGUAAGGUAAGAUGCACUUAAGCGGUUCUAUAAAUAGAAACUUUGUGCUGAAAUGCAAAUCCACUCAUCUGAUAUACUAGGUAUUUGACUUUUAUACUCCUUUUCCAUAUCUAAAAUAUACUAGUUGUUUUAAAAAAAACAACAACAAAUUUCUAAUAAAAUGUAAAAUCUUUACUUGAUAUAGUUGCUCCUGUACUCUAUCAAGCAAGAAGAAUCAACUUGCAAGUUAGUGAAAAGAUUGCGCCAUACGGUAAGUAUACUAUAGUUUAACAAAAUCAUUACUUAGUAAAACAAUUAAGCACCAUGUUCAUUGCAUAUGUGUACCUAUUUUAGACUCAAUUUGCAUAAUCCUAUAACUACUUAAAGUAUAUAUGCAGUAUAUAUAUUGCUAGCCUUAGCACAUAGCUAGUAAUUCUCAUAUGUACAUGUAUAUUUUGCUAAGAGAGAAGUUGAGAAGAAGAUCCAAACUUCUCUUGUUUGGUUUAGUUAGGAGAGAAAUAGAAGAGAGUGAUUAAAUUAGUGUAGGACCCACACAAAUUGCGAAGAAAGCUGAGAGAGUGUGUCAUUUUUUUUGUUAUUCCAAUUAUGUCCUUUGCUUUAUAUCAAAUUUUACAUGUUGCUUACUGCUUAGGGUGUCAUUGCUAAUAUUUUGAAUGAUAGAUAGAAAAACAAUCUAAUGGCAGUAUAUAGGUAUUAAUUCUCAUAUCUAUGCGUAUAUAUAGGUAGUAUAUAGGCACUUGCUUACAACAACCCUUACCACAAUUUUGAACGAUGUGUGUGUGUGUGUGUGAGCAUCUAAAGUAAUUCUGUAUCUCAAUUAAUUUUUAUUAAUUAGUAGUAGUAUAUAUU